GGCCACGUGGUAUAGUGGCUAGGAUACCUGGCUUUCACCCAGGCGCCCGGGUUCAAUUCCCGGCGUGGGAACCA
rnacentral:tRNA from 1 species